rnacentral:rRNA from 1 species
AUUUCCGUAGGUGAACCUGCGGAAGGAUCAUUAACAUUAAUCCAACCAUCUAAACCUAGCCUUAUGUACUGUAGCAGUUGUAGCUAGUUUAACGACAGGCUUAUGCAGCUACAGUAUCAAUCACAACUAAUUAAAAGGAGUCUAAUUAAGCUCUACAACCAAUAUCAAAUUCUCAACGAUGGAUAUCUUGGUUCCCAUAACGAUGAAGAACGCAGCGAAGUGCGAUAAGCAGUGCGAAUUGCAGAACCGUGAGUCAUCAGAUCUUUGAACGCAAAUGGCGCUAGUUGGUUACCCAGCUAGCAUGCUUGUUUCAGUGUCUUGUUUUCUCAUCACCAAUAUCUUAAUGUGAGAGAUGACCUUCUCUUGCUAAGUAUGAAAGUACACUGUACUUUGCAGGCAACUUUCGGGUUGCACUCAAUGCAGCGGUCACAUUUCGAUGUGAACUCGUUGAGAGUAAAGACAGCCAGCGGUUUAACUACUGCUAACUAGUACUUAGAGAUCACAAAACUUUACUUGUAUCUGAAAUCAAGCAGGAUCACCCGCUGAACUUAAGCAUAUCAAUAAGCGGAGGAAU